CCGAGGUCAAGGUCGCAUUCUAAUUAUGGAGAGAGAGAGAGAGAGAGAAAAAAAACAACACGAGUUGUAUUUAUUAUAUCUGAUGUAAUAAUUAAACAUUUUAAAUUCUCCAGUUUUUUUAUACAUGUACCUGUUUACAUAAUUUUUGGUUAGAUGAAUUAAGAAAAUUAAAAGUUCAUUUUUUUACUUGUAAAAAAAAACGUGGAGCUGUUGACGCAGCUGACGUGACUUGUGCCAAAAAAGCGCUCGAGUUGCAGACGUUAUUUUUAACUUCAUUAAUGCGCACGCAGACCAAAAUAGGCCCACUGGCUCAAUUGUUGUAACACUUUUACAGGGAAUGAUUGGGUCGUGUGUAAGUGUGUGUGUGUAUGUGUGUGUGUGUGUGUGUUUGUGUGUGAACCUUGUUGCCCUCGGGACAAGCAGCAGCCAGCAGCUGUUUUGACGCAGAGCUUCCAACAGCACCAAAGAAAAGUCCAGACGUUURUUUAUUUAUUUUUGUAUUCAUUCUUUCACCUUUUUUCAACAUUUGUAAUAAUUGUAUCUGCAGCACUUGUGUUUCGUUGGUGCGUGUGUGUAUGUGUGUGCUCUUACCGUUGGCAACACCGAGCACAUUUUAGGCGCAGAACACCUGAAGGACGCUGGACAACAUGCAGCCUGCAGCUCUGUGCAGCUCCUACUUUUUGCGUUGCACCAGAUUUUUGUUUGUUUGUUUGUUUGUUUGUUUGUUUGUUUGUUUGUUUGUUUGUUUGUUUGUUUACUGUAGGUAGGUACAAGGAGCUCACCUUUCCUCCCGUCCCGUGCAUCCAGCGGCUAAACUGAGCCUGAAGAACCAAGAGCCUCAGAGUCUCAGGAGAAGCUCACCGCAGCGAGCCGCGGCCUCCUCUCCUAAUGAAGCACCCAGAAGCGGUCAGAGUGAAGCUGCCCUGUGUUGUUAACAUGCUGUCAGAAGCUACCGAGAGCAGGGAAGUGAGGAGGUUAGAGGCCAGAGAAUGUAGAGACGCUCUGCGGGACGGCGGGAAGUUUCCAGCAAAACUCUGAAGAGCGCGCGUAAAACAUGAGACCUUUCUGAACAUGGCUGUCUUUGAACUCCAUGCUUGAUAAAUAUGAUUGGAGAAUGAAUUUAAUAAAAUUGGGCCUAGAAUUGAUGCAAAUUGAAAAGAAAGGUAUAACUAAUCAUGUUGAAUAUUUCAUCUUCUAAAUCAAAYUCAUAUUUUAAUYAUUAAAGCAAUGCAUUUGAUUGUUUUUUUUAUAUCAUCAGCUUUUUGUUUUAUCUGACAUAAAUCUGACGUUCUCUGCAGGAAAAAUCGCAACCAAACUAAAACAUUGAAUAUCAAGUUCAUUUAUUUUUUGCCUCCUUYAUUUCUUAAUUGUCUAAAGAAAACAUCUGUUAAUCACAUGUGAUCUUUUAACACGUCACAUCAAAGACAAACCCGGAAGUUACCCAGUUUUCAGUCUGUUUAUAAAAAUACGAUCAAUUCAUCAAGCGUGUUGCGUUCAAACCAAAUGAACAGACGACACAUUUUGCAAAAUGUAAAUAAAAAAAUGUAAGAAAAAAGAAAUCUGAUUACAAAAUGUCWUUAUUAUU